rnacentral:lncRNA from 1 species
AAACUUUGAAACACUGUUGAACGAACUUGGAAGGCAUUAAGGAAUAAACAACUGAUUUUUAAAAGCUACGGUUAGGAAAAGCUACGAAGAACAAACACAAUCAGUUUGCUUUUCAAAUUAGCUUCAGACACACUAACCUUCCAGAACCAAGUGUACACUGCUGGAGGCACAGGGGAAGGGGGAAGGGGGUAGCCUCUGAAACACUAAUGGGUUACCAUGCUUGCUUGAUUAGUAUUUCUCCUUUUAAAGUAUGUUCUCAGCCUGAGUAUAUUUUAACGAUGUGUAUGUUGCACCACAUGUAUGCUUGGUGUCUGCAGAGGUCAGAAAGACUGUCGGAUCCCCCUGGAACUGCGUUUAGAAACAGAUGUGAUCUACAUGUGGGAGAGGGAGCCAGACCCUGGUGCUCUGGAACCGAAUGUCCCUUCCACUCAGGAAUUUCUCUCUCAGACAUCAUCUGGCUGUGUGCAAAGGUGAGUAUGAGCGACUCCAUAUCUUUCAGCUAGAUUAACAGAAAGCACUUAACUUCCCAUCCUUCAGAGCCCAACUAACUAGAUCUAUGACAGGCACAUGGAGUGGCCAAUGUGCAGAAGAAUUGAAGAAAACUGACACAAUCUCCUGUUUCCAAGACAGCAAAGAGAACUGCAAAAGAGAACAUACACCUACCUUUUCAAGGGUGUCUGCUUUACAGCAGAUUGGUCCACGCCCUGCUGUGCCCAUGAGUCUCCAGAGCUGUGAGGUCUCCCCCACCCCCAUUGGGAUCCUGCUGACCCACCUGUUCCAGACUUCACUUUAUCCUUCUUUGCCUGGACACCCUGAGGGAAGAAGUGAGAAGUAAGGAAACAGAAGCAGCAGCUCAGGUAACCUACUUGCAGAGGAUGCACAUUUUUGUAUGGGGAACUUAUAAACAGACACAAGCUGAGAAGGCUGGGCUGACCCCAUGACAGGCUUCAAAUUAACAGUUUAGGAGACAAGGCCUAAAUCUCUGUUUCCAAGAACCGGGCAAGUCCAGGCCUCAGAAGCUGCCCUGCCACCUGGCCUGAGGCAAGGACAAUGGGUCAGCAGCAGUUUUUAGACUUUCUCAGCCAAAACUUUCCAGACCUCUCCAGCAACAGUUUCCAGCUCCCACACCCCAGAAAUGGUUCUGCAAUGUCCCUAGAGUUGGAGCAAGAUAAAGGUCACCUAUCCCCCGAAAUUCCUCUAAUGUGCUUUAAAUUGGGCCUGUGAGCUCACUUGGUCAUCUUUUUUGGUAAUGGGAGACUCCAACAUGCUGGAUUUCUGCAGAAUAAAACACUCUUUGCAUUUACAUACUAA